UGAGCAAGCAUUGGGUUUGCAGCUGAUGC
rnacentral:piRNA from 1 species